rnacentral:rRNA from 1 species
UCGAGAAUCUUCCGCAAUGGACGAAAGUCUGACGGAGCGAUGUCGCGUGAUGGAUGAAGUGCCUAGGUACGUAAACAUCUUUUAUAGAGGAGGAAGUCAUUGACGUUACUCUAUGAAUAAGGGGCUCCUAACUCUGUGCCAGCAGGAGCGGUAAUACAGAGGCCCCAAGCGUUAUCCGGAAUUAUUGGGCGUAAAGGGUGUGUAGGCGGCCAUGUUAGUCGUCCGUGAAAUCUCCUGGCUUAACCGGGAAGACGCGGGCGAAACGGCAUGACUCGAGAGUGCGAGAGGUAUAUGGAACUCAUGGUGUAGGGGUGAAAUCCGUUGAUAUCAUGGGGAACACCGAAAGCGAAGGCAAUAUACUGGCGCAUUUCUGACGCUGAGACACGAAAGCGUGGGUUUC